AGUGAACGCUGGCGGUAGGCCUAACACAUGCAAGUCGAACGGCAGCACAGUAAGAGCUUGCUCUUACGGGUGGCGAGUGGCGGACGGGUGCGGAAUACAUCGGAAUCUACUUUUUCGUGGGGGCUAACGUAGGGAAACUUACGCUAAUACCGCAUACGACCUACGGGUGAAAGCAGGUGAUCUUCGGACCUUGCGCGAUUGAAUGAGCCGAUGUCGGAUUAGCUAGUUGGCGGGGUAAUGGCCCACCAAGGCGACGAUCCGUAGCUGGUCUGAGAGGAUGGUCAGCCACACUGGAACUGAGACACGGUCCAGACUCCUACGGGAGGCAGCAGUGGUGAAUAUUGGACAAUGGGCGGAAGCCUGAUCCAGCCAUACCGCGUGGGUGAAGAAGGCCUUCGGGUUGUAAUGCCCUUUUGUUGGGAAAGAAAAGCAGCAGGUUAAUACCCCGCUGUUCUGACGGUACCCAAAGAAUAAGCACCGGCUAACUUCGUG
rnacentral:rRNA from 1 species